rnacentral:rRNA from 1 species
AUUGAACGCUGGCGGCAUGCCUUACACAUGCAAGUCGAACGGCAGCACGGGAGCAAUCCUGGUGGCGAGUGGCGAACGGGUGAGUAAUAUAUCGGAACGUGCCCAGUCGUGGGGAUAACGUAGCGAAAGCUACGCUAAUACCGCAUACGAUCUAUGGAUGAAAGCGGGGGAUCGCAAGACCUCGCGCGAUUGGAGCGGCCGAUAUCAGAUUAGGUAGUUGGUGAGGUAAAGGCUCACCAAGCCGACGAUCUGUAGCUGGUCUGAGAGGACGACCAGCCACACUGGGACCGAGACACGGCCCAGACUCCUACGGGAGGCAGCAGUGGGGAAUUUUGGACAAUGGGCGCAAGCCUGAUCCAGCAAAUGCCGCGUGCAGGAUGAA